rnacentral:rRNA from 1 species
UUAGAGUUUGAUCCUGGCUCAGAACGAACGCUGGCGGCGUGGAUAAGACAUGCAAGUCGAACGAGAGAAUUGCUAGCUUGCUAAUAAUUCUCUAGUGGCGCACGGGUGAGUAACACGUGAGUAACCUGCCCCCGAGAGCGGGAUAGCCCUGGGAAACUGGGAUUAAUACCGCAUAGUAUCGAAAGAUUAAAGCAGCAAUGCGCUUGGGGAUGGGCUCGCGGCCUAUUAGUUAGUUGGUGAGGUAACGGCUCACCAAGGCGAUGACGGGUAGCCGGUCUGAGAGGAUGUCCGGCCACACUGGAACUGAGGCACGGUCCAGACACCUACGGGUGGCAGCAGUCGAGAAUCAUUCACAAUGGGGGAAACCCUGAUGGUGCGACGCCGCGUGGGGGAAUGAAGGUCUUCGGAUUGUAAACCCCUGUCAUGUGGGAGCAAAUUAAAAAGAUAGUACCACAAGAGGAAGAGACGGCUAACUCUGUGCCAGCAGCCGCGGUAAUACAGAGGUCUCAAGCGUUGUUCGGAAUCACUGGGCGUAAAGCGUGCGUAGGCUGUUUCGUAAGUCGUGUGUGAAAGGCGCGGGCUCAACCCGCGGACGGCACAUGAUACUGCGAGACUAGAGUAAUGGAGGGGGAACCGGAAUUCUCGGUGUAGCAGUGAAAUGCGUAGAUAUCGAGAGGAACACUCGUGGCGAAGGCGGGUUCCUGGACAUUAACUGACGCUGAGGCACGAAGGCCAGGGGAGCGAAAGGGAUUAGAUACCCCUGUAGUCCUGGCAGUAAACGGUGCACGCUUGGUGUGCGGGGAAUCGACCCCCUGCGUGCCGGAGCUAACGCGUUAAGCGUGCCGCCUGGGGAGUACGGUCGCAAGAUUAAAACUCAAAGAAAUUGACGGGGACCCGCACAAGCGGUGGAGUAUGUGGCUUAAUUCGAUGCAACGCGAAGAACCUUACCUGGGCUUGACAUGUAAUGAACAACAUGUGAAAGCAUGCGACUCUUCGGAGGCGUUACACAGGUGCUGCAUGGCCGUCGUCAGCUCGUGUCGUGAGAUGUUUGGUUAAGUCCAGCAACGAGCGCAACCCCUGUUGCCAGUUACCAGCACGUGAAGGUGGGGACUCUGGCGAGACUGCCCAGAUCAACUGGGAGGAAGGUGGGGACGACGUCAGGUCAGUAUGGCCCUUAUGCCCAGGGCUGCACACGUACUACAAUGCCCAGUACAGAGGGGGCCGAAGCCGCGAGGCGGAGGAAAUCCUGAAAACUGGGCCCAGUUCGGACUGUAGGCUGCAACCCGCCUACACGAAGCCGGAAUCGCUAGUAGUGGCGCAUCAGCUACGGCGCCGUGAAUACGUUCCCGGGUCUUGCACUCACCGCCCGUCA